rnacentral:tRNA from 1 species
UCCGCCAUGGUGUAACGGCAGCACGACGGCCUUUGGAGCCGUUCGUCCAGGUUCGAAUCCUGGUGGCGGAG